AAAAUGGACGAUUUUUUCAUUCAUAUGAAUUUAUAUGCACAUAAUUUUUCUAAUUCUUUAUAUCAGAUUAAUGUAAUAAUGAAGAAAGAAGAGCUACUGAUUUUGAACUCCUUUAAAUAAUAGAAAUAUUUUUCUAAUUCUUUAUAUCAGAUUAGUGUAAUAAUAUAAUGAAGAAAGAAGAGCUACUGAUUUUGAACUCCUUUAAAUAAUGGAAAUAGAAGCAACUGAUAAAUAUGAUUAAAACUUAUUAUUUAUUAGAUAAUGAAGAAAGAAGAGCUACUGAUUUUGAACUCCUUUAAAUAAUGGAAAUAGAAGCAACUGAUAAAUAUAAUUAAAAUUUAUUAUUUAUUAGAUAAUGAAGAAAGAAGAGCUACUGAUUUUGAACUCCUUUAAAUAAUGGAAAUAUUUUUCUAAUUCUUUAUAUCAGAUUAGUAUAAUGAAGAAAGAAGAGCUACUGAUUUUGAACUCCUUUAAAUAAUGGAAAUAGAAGCAACUGAUGAUUAAAAUUUAUUAUUUAUUAGAUAAUGAAGAAAGAAGAGCUACUGAUUUUGAACUCCUUUAAAUAAUGGAAAUAGAAGCAACUGAUAAAUAUGAUUACAAUUUAUUAUUCAUUAGAUAAUUAUAACUUAUAAAUAAAAUUAAUUGAUAAUUUGGUCAGAAUAUUAUAUUUUAUUAUACAUCUAUAUUAUAAUUAUACAUAAGUUUUAUAUAACAAGAUGCUUUAUCAGCAAAUAAAUAUUUAUUUAUA